rnacentral:rRNA from 1 species
GGGUCAGUAGGUUGGUCGUGCCACCGGUACGUACUGGUCUCACUGAUUCCUCCUUCCUGAAGAACCGUAAUGCCAUUAAUUUGGUGUUGCGGGGAAACAGGACUGUCACUUUGAAAAAAUUAGAGUGUUUAAAGCAAGCUGACGCUUGAAUACAUUAGCAUGGAAUAAUGAAAUAGGACGAUCGAUCCUAUUUUGUUGGUUUCUAGGAUUGACGUA